rnacentral:rRNA from 1 species
GAUGAACGCUGGCGGCGUGCCUAAUACAUGCAAGUCGAGCGAACAGACGAUGAGCUUGCUCCUCUAACGUUAGCGGCGGACGGGUGAGUAACACGUGUAUAACCUACCUAUAAGACUGGGAUAACUUCGGGAAACCGGAGCUAAUACCGGAUAAUAUAUUGAACCGCAUGGUUCAAUAGUGAAAGACGGUUUUGCUGUCUCUUAUAGAUGGAUCCGCGCCGCAUUAGCUAGUUGGUAAGGUAACAGCUUACCAAGGCAACGAUGCGUAGCCGACCUGAGAGGGUGAUCGGCCACACUGGAACUGAGACACGGUCCAGACUCCUACGGGAGGCAGCAGUAGGGAAUGUUCCGCAAUGGGCGAAAGCAUGACGGAGCAACGCCGCGUGAGUGAUGAAGGUCUUCGGAUCGUAAAACUCUGUUAUUAGGGAAGAACAAAUGUGUAAGUAACUAUGCACGUCUUGACGGUACCUAAUCAGAAAGCCACGGCUAACUACGUG